rnacentral:rRNA from 1 species
ACUGCGACGUGGCAGAGUAAGCGAUUGUUGAAUUAUCUGGGAAGGUAUGCCAGAGUGGGGCAGCGGCCCGUAAGCGAAAUCUCAAGCUGGCCUAGCAGACUCCUGGGUUGGCCGGGACACGAGGAGUCCCGGCUGAAACCGCGCAGACCAUCCCGCCAGGCUAAAUCCUCGUUAGUGACCGAUGGGGGACCAGUACCGUGAGGGAAAGGGGAAAAGAACCCCGGAAGGGGAGAGAAAAAGAACCUGAAACCGUGUGUCUACAAGGAGUCAAAGCACAUUAAAGUGCAAAGGCGUUACUGUAGUAGAAUGAACCGGGAAGUUAAGUUAUAUUGCAAGGUUAAGUCAGAAAAGACGGUGCCGGAGCGGAAGCGAGUCUUAAUAGGGCGAAACGUUAGGUGGCGUAGACCCGAAACCAAGUGACCUACCCAUUACCAGGCUUAAGGUGUGGUAGUC